UCCUAUCAACCUUCAUUAACAGGGGGAACAGUUUUAUCCAAUAAGUAUUUACAAUAAAACCUGUAGGCAGUUCCAAGUUUGUGGAGAUCAGCACUUCGAAUUUAAUUGCAGAGGCUUUUUAGUAAAAAAAAAAAAUUAAAAAAUUAACAAUUAAAAAUUGUGUGCUAAAACCACUCCAAUUAAGGAAUAAGCAGAUCAGCUAUUUACCAGAAGAACUGCUUCUGUUUUAAGGCUAAGUCACACUUAAAACCGGCAUAAAGAGUACAACACAAAGAUUUACAGAUGUGGGAGGCCAGGCUGGAGGUAUGGAAUAGAAACAGCAGCUGAAAGGAUGUCCCUUUUCAUGAAUCUCUCUGACAAGACAGAGACUUCUACUGUCUUUUACUGUCAUUUUUUUCAGGUUACAGGAACACUCAGAGGAGCAGAGUAUAUGAAACUGAGACAAUGAUGAAAAUGGAUUUUAGCAGCAACCUGCCCAGGCAAGUGCUGCUGUGCCACAAACAGCCACACUUGGAUUCAGCUAAAAGAAGCAGUGAGUGCAGAAGUAAACGGGACUUUGGAGGAGAUGAAUGCAAGCAGGAGGAGAAGGAAAGGGAGAGGAGAAGUCAAG
rnacentral:lncRNA from 1 species